CGCUCGGGAGAAAGGGUGCAGGUGCUCGCGGGUGCAGCGCGGGGAUCUUGCCCUAGUCACCCUACCUAAGUAGCUGGGCACCCUCCAGUCGGCUCCUCCUAGCCACAUUAGGGGCUGCGAGCGUCUUUAACCCAGAAUCUCCUCUUCUCUGCUGCCGCCAGCCACCCUGCCCGCCUACCUGUCCCAGACUCAUGCGCGCUCUCACUCUCUUCCUCCGAGAUCGCCAACCCGAGCGCACGCAUUUCCCUUAGGCAACCCGGACAGUGGGGCAUGGCCACCAGCGGGAAAUUGAGAUUCCCAGGACUGGUCUUCCUCUCGCCCUCCGGCGCCAGAAGAGGCUCCUCUUCUCACCUCCGUGACUAGAGAAAAGACCAGACCAGGACCAGGGAAUUCGUUCCUCCUGCGACUUUCAGACUUCCAGGUGGACGCAGGGAUUCCUCUAAGCUGCGACUCCUCUGAUUCCCGCAUGGGCCGCCGGAGGUGCCUUCAGCGUCUCCUGCUCUGGUUGCCUCAUUCGCCAUCCCUGGCUGUCACAGAGGAGGAGGCCGCGCUACGCUGUCUGCUGGGAUUGCUGGGCAGAGGCUGGGGCAUCUUGAAAGUUCCUGGAGUGGGGAAGAGGUCCAGAAAGGACAAGGGAGGAGCCCUGAAGAUGACCAGGAGAAGGAAGUGGAUACAAUGCUGGACUUAGAGUAAGGAAGAACUUGAAGCCUAAUGGGUAGAGUGCCAGGCCUGGAGUCAAGAAGAUUUUGUCUUC